UUCAAGACCAGUCUGGCCAACAUAGCAAGACCCUGUUAUGUAUGCAUUCACCCUCCUGCCUCCCCUCCCAGGUCCUGAGCCCCUCAGGGGCAGGGGCCAGGUCUGACUCACCCUGGAUCCCAGUAGCUGGCACAGAGAUGGGCUCACUGAAUGAAUAAAUGAACAAAAGUAUGAAUGACUGUCAUGCCUGUGCAGACAGAUGGUGCCCCAUGCCAUGACCUUGUUUACCCGACCUGCUGGGGCCCUGCCGUCAGCUGCUGUGUGGUCGGGGAAUGCAGACAUCCUUAAAUACUGCUGAGCAGAUUUUCCCGGCUUGCAGGAUUGCAUCAAGAGUCAGGGCGCAGACUCGAGGCUCAGGCUCCCGACUUCACUGAUAACUUUAGGCAAGUUAUUAACCUGGCCAACGCUCACUUGACCAUUCUGAAGUGAGGGCUUUCUUGGGGUACUGUGAGAAAGAAGUGAGAGGAAGCUUGGUGCCUAGCACAAGUAAAUACUUAAUCAGUGUUAGGGCCAGGUGCAAUGCCAUGUACCUGUGACCGCAGCUACUUGGGUGGCCAAGGAGGGAGGGUUGCUUUGGCUUAGGAGUUUGAGACCAACCUGGGCAACAUAGCGAGACCCCAUCUCAAAAAAGACAAUUAGGUACUGUGAUUAUUAAUAAUUAUUUUUCAAUCAACAAGCAUUCAGCAGUGCCCAGCUUUUCUGUACCCUCAGAAUCUUAAAACAAACAAACAAAAACAAAAAACAAAAAACCACCCAUUGGGAAAUGUUAGUUUUAGGGUUGAGUAUCUCUUAUUAAAUUAAGGUUCUUUAGAGGCCAAGUGCAGCAGCUCACACCUAUAAUCCCAGCACUUUGGAAGGCUGAGGUGGGCAGAUCACUUGAGGUCAGGAGUUCAAGACUAGCUUGGCCAACAUGGUGAAACUCCGUCUCUACUAAAAAUACAAAAAUCAGCCGGGCGUGGUGGCACACGCCUGUAAUCCCAGCUGCUCAGAAGGCUGAGGCAGGAGAAUUGCUUGAACCUGGGAGGUGGAGGUUGCAGUGAGCUGAUAUCGUGCCACUGCACUCCAGCCUGGGUGACGGAAUGAGACUCUGUCUCAAAAAAUAAAAAAUAGGCCGGGCACGGUGGCUCACACCUGUAAUCUCAGCAAGGGGGGGCAGAUCACCUGAGGUCAGGAGUUCGAGACCAGCCUGACCAACAUGGAGAAACCCCGUCUCUACUAAAAAUACAAAAUUAGCUAGGUGUGGUGGCGCAUGCCUGUAAUCCCAGCUACUCGGGAGGCUGAGGCAGGAGAAUCGCUUGAACCCAGGAGGCAGAGGUUGCUGUGAGUGGAGAUCGCACCAUUGCAUCGCAGCCUGGGCAACAAGAGUGAAACUCCGUCUCAAAAAAAAUAAAAAAAAUACAUAAAAAACAAAUGGAGUCCUUUUUUUUUUUUUUGAGGCAGGGCCUCCCUCUGUCACCCAGGCUGGAUGGAGUACAGUGGAGUGAUCACAGCGACUUCAGCCUUGACCUCUCCAGCUCAAGUGAUCCUCCCACCUCGGCCUCCCAAAGUGCUGGGAUUGCAGGUGUGAGCUACCUUCUGUAGCCUAAGAUUCUUUAAUAUGGAUUUCAUGGCAAACCAAAUGUAUAAACUUGGGCAAGUGACUUAAUCUCUCUGAGCCUCAGUUUCCUCUUUUGUGUAAAGAAUACAUUUCCACAAAUGGAAGGAAUAAUUGUACCAAACCUAUAGGAUUACUGGGUGGCCUUUGAGACUUAAGAAGGUAGGGGAGCAGAUAUCUGGGGUAAGUGGCUGGGUGUGGUGGCUCACACCUGUAAUCCCAGCAUUUUGGAAGGCCGAGGCGGGCAGAUCACUUGAGGUCAAGAGUUCAAGACCAGCCUGGGCAACAUGGUGAAACCCUGUCUCUAAUAAAAAUAUAAAAUUUAGGCCAGGUGCGAUGGCUCAUGCCUGUAAUCCCAGCACUUUGGGAGGCCAAGGCAGGUGGAUCACGAGGUCAGGAGUUCAAGAUCAGCCAGGCCAACAUGGUGAAACCCCAUCUCUACUAAAAAUACAAAAAUUAGCCAGGUGCAAUGGCAGGUGUCUGUAAUCCCAGCUACUCGGGAGGCUGAGGCAGGACAAUCACUUGAACCCAGGUGGCAGAGGUUACAGCGAGCUGAAAUCGUGCCAAUACACUCCAGCCUGGGCGACGGAGUGCGACUCCAUCUCAAAAUAUAUAUAUACAUAUAUAAAAUUUAGCCGGGUGUGAUGGCGGUCACCUGUAAUCUCAGCUACUUGGGAGGCUGAGGCAUGAGAAUCACUUGAACCCAGGAAGUGGAGGUUGCAGUGAGCUGAGAUCAUGCCACUGCACUCCAGCCUGGGUAACAGACUGAGACUCCAUCUCAAAAAAAAAAAAAAAUGUAUGUGGUAAGAGCACUCCAGGCAGAAGGACUAGCCCAUGCAAAGGUCCUGAGGCAGGAAGGUGCCCAGUUGUUCAAGAGCAGACACCAGUUAGCUGGAGCAGAGGGAGUGAGAUGGGGCGGGGAGAAGACAAAGGUCUCUGCUAGCGGCUCAAUCAUGCAGGUCCUUGUGGGCUAUUGUAAAGACUUUGGCUUUUACCAUCUCACUGGAUGAGAAGGGGGAUUUGGACUGUUUUGAGCCAAGGAGCAACAAGAUCUGAAGUUAGUUCCAACAGGAUCCUGCCUUCUACUGUGUGGACAGGCUGAUGUGAGCAAAGUUGAGAGCAGGCUACUGAGAUAGUCCCAGUGAGGUUAAUGACUUGGACCAGGGUUGGGGCAGUAGAGGCAGUGAAAGUGGUCAGGUUCUGGAAAUGGUCUGAGUAUUUGCUGGUGCAUUGGAGAGUUUCACGUAAUUCUUGUGCAGAUUCAGCAAGAGAGUUUGCCGGCAUGCUUUGCACAGCCCCUGGUACCCAGUAAGGCGAUUAUUAGCAUUGGUGCUUGCUGGAAUCAGAUAUUCCAGAAUAUUCUGUCACAGCUCAUCGUUGCCCUCUUCUUUUCUGUGGGUAAACUGAGGCAGAAACUCAGGCUGGGUGGAACUCUGCAGCCUCAGCUGGAGACCUCGUCUGGCCAAGGACUGUGGGGACACAGGCCCUCUAGGCUGCCACCUCAUGGUCCCAGCAGAGGGCACCAGAACUGCACAGAAAGUCUCACUACCCAAGUGUCUGAGCCAGGCCAGACUGUGCUAGCCAGACCUGCCCGGGGUUCAUUCACUGACCUUUAUUGAGCACCUACUGUAUGCCCAGCCCCAAACCUGGCUCUGCUCAUGGAAAGAACUUCAGUGGAAACAGGUCCUGGGAUGAACAAGGGCCUGGCCUGGCCUGGUGAUGCCACUAUUUCCUUAAGAGGAGAGUGGACAUUCCGGAUUAUUGUCGGGGGAGUCUCAUUUCUGCUGCUGUAACAAAAUACCACAGACUGGGUCAUUUAGAAACCAUAGAAACUGAUUUCGUACUGUUCUAGAGGCUGGGAAGUCCCAGAUCAAGGUGCCAGCAGGUUUGGUGUCGUGAGGGCCACUCUCUGCUUCCAAGAUGGUCCCUCCUUGCUGUGUCCUCUGGAGGGGAAGACUGCUGUGUCCUCACGCUGCAGAAGGUGGAAGGGCGAGAGAUGGCAAACCAGGCUUACAAGCCCUUUGAAAAGGGCCCUCAUCCCAUCCUGGAGAGCUCUGCCCUAUCACAUUGGCGAUUAUGUUUCAAUAUGUAAAUUUUGGGAGAUGCAUUCAGACCACAGGAGGAAGGGAAAAGAAAGAGCCCCCAGGUUGAAAGCCAGUUUAGGUUUGAGUCCCAGCCUUUCCCCUUGCUGUGUGACCUGGAGUAAAUUCCUCAGCCUCUGUGAGUCUCCCAUUCCACCCCAGGAUUGUUGUGAAAACACAGUAAGGCAAGCGGGUAAGAAAGCACCCAGCAAGGUGUCAAGUGCCCCACCAGGAGGGGUGGGGUGGCAAUUUCCAGCAUUGCUUGGAACCAGAAUAGCAACGUCUUCUGAGGUUCCAGAAUUUGGACUCUGAACCCAUUGAGAAGAAUGAAAUCAACUUUGGCGUCAAUCAGCCACUGAUUGCCAUGUGGCCUGGACGAGUCAUCUCAUUCAACUUCACUUUCAGCCGGACGCUGUGACUCAGGCCUGUAACCCCAGCACUUUGGGAAGCUGAGGAGAGACCUUCCUGCCCUACUACACGGGCCGCGCCAUUGAUGGCAUCGUCAUCCAGAAAAGCAUGGAUCAGUUCAGCACGGCUGUCGUCAUCGUGUGCCUGCUGGCCAUUGGCAGGUAUUCGGGGCGGCAUUUUUACCCUCAUAUUUGCCAGACUGAACAUUCGCCUUCGAAACUGUCUCUUCCGCUCACUGGUGUCCCAGGAGACAAGCUUCUUUGAUGAGAACCGCACAGGGGACCUCAUCUCCCGCCUGACCUCGGACACCACCAUGGUCAGCGACCUGGUCUCCCAGAACAUCAAUGUCUUCCUGCGGAACACAGUCAAGGUCACGGGCGUGGUGGUCUUCAUGUUCAGCCUCUCAUGGCAGCUCUCCUUGGUCACCUUCAUGGGCUUCCCCAUCAUCAUGAUGGUGUCCAACAUCUACGGCAAGUACUACAAGAGGCUCUCCAAAGAGGUCCAGAAUGCCCUGGCCAGAGCGAGCAACACGGCGGAGGAGACCAUCAGUGCCAUGAAGACUGUCCGGAGCUUCGCCAAUGAGGAGGAGGAGGCAGAGGUGUACCUGCGGAAGCUGCAGCAGGUGUACAAGCUGAACAGGAAGGAGGCAGCUGCCUACAUGUACUACGUCUGGGGCAGCGGGCUCACACUGCUGGUGGUCCAGGUCAGCAUCCUCUACUACGGGGGCCACCUUGUCAUCUCAGGCCAGAUGACCAGCGGCAACCUCAUCGCCUUCAUCAUCUACGAGUUUGUCCUGGGAGAUUGUAUGGAGUCCGUGGGCUCCGUCUACAGUGGCCUGAUGCAGGGAGUGGGGGCUGCUGAGAAGGUGUUCGAGUUCAUCGACCGGCAGCCGACCAUGGUGCACGAUGGCAGCUUGGCCCCCGACCACCUGGAGGGCCGGGUGGACUUUGAGAAUGUGACCUUCACCUACCGCACUCGGCCCCACACCCAGGUCCUGCAGAAUGUCUCCUUCAGCCUGUCCCCCGGCAAGGUGACGGCCCUGGUGGGGCCCUCGGGCAGUGGGAAGAGCUCCUGUGUCAACAUCCUGGAGAACUUCUACCCCCUGGAGGGGGGCCGGGUGCUGCUGGACGGCAAGCCCAUCAGCGCCUACGACCACAAGUACUUGCACCGUGUGAUCUCCCUGGUGAGCCAGGAGCCCGUGCUGUUCGCCCGCUCCAUCACGGAUAACAUCUCCUACGGCCUGCCCACUGUGCCUUUCGAGAUGGUGGUGGAGGCCGCACAGAAGGCCAAUGCCCACGGCUUCAUCAUGGAACUCCAGGACGGCUACAGCACAGAGACAGGGGAGAAGGGCGCCCAGCUGUCAGGUGGCCAGAAGCAGCGGGUGGCCAUGGCCCGGGCUCUGGUGCGGAACCCCCCAGUCCUCAUCCUGGAUGAAGCCACCAGCGCUUUGGAUGCCGAGAGCGAGUAUCUGAUCUGAAUGACCAGCCUGCAGAUAUCAGAACCGAGAUGGAUUGAUGAUGAUGACAAUGAUAACCAUUCAGUUGUCACUAAGGGCUGCUUGUUGCACCUCAGGAGCUGGGGAUAGUGAAGGAGAUACCUGUGCUGAGUCACUAACAGGAAAGGGCUGAGAAAGAAGCAUCGCCAAUGGUUUCUCUUUCCUGGUUUUUAUUCUUUCCUCAGAGAGGAGGAAGUUGACCAUUUAAACAGGUGAGUUGGCUGGGCGUGGUGGCUCAUGCCUGUAAUCCCAGCACUUUGGGAGGCCGAGGCAGGCGGACCACUUGAGGUCAGGAGUUGGAGACCAGCCUGGCCAACAUGGUGAAAACUCAUCUCUACUAAAAACACAAAAAUUAGCCAGGUGUGGUGGGGAGGCUGAGGCAGGAGAAUCACUUGAACCCGGGAGGCAGAGGUGGCAGUGAGCCGAGAUUGUGCCUCUGAACUCCAGCCUGGACGACAGAGUGAGACUCCAUCUAAAAUAAAUAAAUAAAUAAAUAAAUAAAUAAAUAAAUAAAUAAACAAACAAACAGAUGAGUCACCCAGGGGGAGGUCCUAACAGCGACCUAAGGUGACAGUGACAGUGCCUCACAUUAUUACAGCUCUUUACCUUUGACUACCUGAGAUCAGUCAUUCAGUAAGCAUUUAUUGAGAACCUCCGUCUACCAGAAACUGUGCUAGGUUGUGGGUCACAGUGGAGACUAAGAGGUCCGAGAUCACCUACAUCCUACUGGGUAAUAAACUCCAGAUGGUGAAAAGAUGGCAGCAGACAAGAGAGUGACUUGGGAGAGGAGCACUGUUUGAGCUGGGGUGGUCUGGGGAGGUGAUAUGGGAGCUGAGCCCUGAAUGACAAGGAGGUACCAGCUUUGGGUAUCUAGAGGAAAGAAUGAUCCCAACCACAGUCUGGCACUUCCUCAAAAAGCUCAACAUGGACCUGGGCACAGUGGCUCACAGUUGUAAUCCCAGCACUUUGGGAGGCUGAGGCGGGAGGAUUGCUUGAAGCCAGGAGUUUGAGAACAGCCUGGGCAACAUAGUGGGACCCCAUCCCUACAAAAAUUUAAAAAUCAGCCAGGCGUGGUAGUGCAUACCGGUCGUCCCAGCUACUUGUGUGGCUGAGGCAGGAGGAUCCUUUGAGCUCAAGGAGGUUGAGGCUGCAACGAACCAUGGUGGUGCCACUGCACUCCAGCCUGGAUGACAGAGUGAGACCUCGUCUCUAAAAAUAAUAAAAUAAAGCCAAAAAGUGCAAACAAUCCAAUGUAUGAAUGGAUAAACAAACUGCAAACCGUGGUAUGCACAUACUGUGGGAUAUGAUUCAGCUGUAGAAAGGAAUGAAGUGCUGGUACAUGCUAUAACAUAGAUGGUCCUUAGAAGCAUUAUGCAAAUGAAAGAUGCCAGGCAGGGAAGGUCACCUAUGGUAUGAUUCUUUUUACAUGAUAUAUUCAGAAGAAGCAAAUCUAUAGGGAUAGAAAGCAGAUUAGAGGUUACCAGGGCAUGGGGAGGGAGGAAUGGGGAGUGACUGCUUGCUGGAUACAAGAUGUUUUUUACAGGGUGAUGAGAAAGUUUGGAAGCUGGAGAGACCUGGUGUUUGCACAAUAUUGUGAAUACAUUUAAUACCAAUGCAUUUGUACACUUUAAAAUGGGUAAGUGGCCAGGUGCAAUGGCUCAUGCCUGUAAUCCCAGCACUUUAGGAGGCCGAAGUGGGAGGAUCGCUUGAGCCCAGGAGUUCGAGACCAGCCUGGGCAACAUAGGGAGACCCCAUCUCUACAAAAAAUAAAAUAUUAGUCGUGCGUGGUG